AUUGGGAUAACUAUGGUGGUUAUCACUGGGAGGGUGAGGACACAGAAUUUUGGGGGUGGUGUGGAACUAUACCCUGUAAUUUUAUAAAACUUGUUGCAAAAAAGGGGGAGCUUGGGAAUUAAAAAAAAAAAAAACUGGGGGGGCAGUAUACAACAGUUCACACACCCUACCAUGGGCAGGGACCCAGGGUCCAGCAUCCGCUACCACAUCAGAACACCGUGCAAGGGGGAAGUUUCAGGAACAGUAGGUGGUGCGGUAGUGUCUGUCCUUCUGUCUCUCUCCCUCCUUUGUCUUGUGAUCACUCUCUAUGGGGGGUGGUGGGAAGAAAUAGUUUGCUGGGAGCAGUAGAACUGGAGGGAACAGCACAGUGAAGCCCUAAUGGCAAUGAAGAGUUCUGCUUGUUUCUGCCCCCAGGGUUAUCGCAGGGGCUCGGUGCCUACACCACGAAUCCACUGCUCCUGGCAGCCAUUUCCCCGUUUUUAUUGGAUAGGACAGAAAUCGAGAGAGGAAGGGGCGAUAGAGAGGGGGGCCGGGUGGUGGAGCACCUGGUCGAGCUCACGUCACAGUGCGCAAGGAUUUGGGUUCGAGCCCCCGGUCUCCACCUGCAGGGAAGCUUUGAGAGUGGCGAAGCAGUGCUGCAGGUGUCUGUUUCUCUUGUCUAUCACCCUCUCCCUUCUUGAUCUCUGGCUGUCUCUACCAAAUAAAUGAAGAUGAUAGUAAAUUAAGAGAGGGGGAGAAAGAUAAGACAGAUGCCUGCAGAUCUGCUUCGCUGCUUGUGAAGCGUCCCCCUCUGCAGGUGGGGAGCAGGUUCGAGCCCAGAUCCUUGCACUUAGUACUACAUGCCACUGCCCGGUCCCAGUAGUUUUAGACUCUUCUGUUAAAAUGAUCUGCUUUUCAAAAGAAGCAAACGUUUAGCCUGAGUCUUAUAAACUCAGUGUGCCUUGGGCUGUGGCCAUGUCGUGUGCGAGCUGGGAUUCCAGCAGACUGCGAGUACUGUGCCUGACUAGAGCUGGGUGUUUUAUGGUGUGUAGCACGUGCACCCAGGAAGUACUAAUAAGCACCCAGGAAGUACUAAUAAACACCAGGGCUGCGUGACCAAGCGCUCCCAGGAGGAAAGGAAGUCCGAGUCAGGUCAAAGCCCCCUGGUGGUCCUGAGUCACAGGACAGUCACCGUUCAGGUCAGAACAUUUCUUAUUUAUUAACUUGUGUGCACUUGGAGAGCCCCAUCCCAGCUCCUCUCCCCACGACCACAGCAGCCAGAUCAAAUCGAGGGGUUUAUUAGGGAAACAGGAGCAGUGAAGACACCCCAAGUGACAGAAAGCAAGCCCUGAAAAUGUCCCUUUUCAAGCCAGAUGGGGGCCUGGUCUCGCCCCUCCGCAGAAGACAAGAAGCAGGUGGGUUAGCCACAUCCUCUGGCAGUCCCCUUGCCCGGGCACGGCCUCCCCACCCACAAGCUGGAGAGGAGACAGACUUCACCAGGGCAAGGCAGCCGAGGAAACGGGGAGGGAGGGGCCUUCGCAGAGUCCCAGGCUUUGGGCUCUGAAUG